rnacentral:rRNA from 1 species
GGCGAGAGCCUGAACCAGCCAAGUCGCGUGAAGGAAGACUGCCUUAUGGGUUGUAAACUUCUUUUAUACAGGAAUAAAAAGGCUUACGUGUAGGCCAUUGCAAGUACUGUAUGAAUAAGCAUCGGCUAACUCCGUGCCAGCAGCCGCGGUAAUACGAAGGGGGCUAGCGUUGUUCGGAUUUACUGGGCGUAAAGCGCACGUAGGCGGACUUUUAAGUCAGGGGUGAAAUCCCGGGGCUCAACCCCGGAACUGCCUUUGAUACUGGAAGUCUUGAGUAUGGUAGAGGUGAGUGGAAUUCCGAGUGUAGAGGUGAAAUUCGUAGAUAUUCGGAGGAACACCAGUGGCGAAGGCGGCUCACUGGACCAUUACUGACGCUGAGGUGCGAAAGCGUGGGGAGCAAACA